rnacentral:rRNA from 1 species
CUACGGGAGGCAGCAGUGGGGAAUAUUGGACAAUGGGCGGAAGCCUGAUCCAGCAACGCCGCGUGAGGGAUGACGGCCUUCGGGUUGUAAACCUCUUUCAGCACAGACGAAGCGAAAGUGACGGUAUGUGCAGAAGAAGCACCGGCCAACUACGUGCCAGCAGCCGCGGUAAUACGUAGGGUGCGAGCGUUGUCCGGAAUUAUUGGGCGUAAAGGGCUCGUAGGCGGUUUGUCGCGUCGGGAGUGAAAACACACAGCUUAACUGUGUGCUUGCUUCCGAUACGGGCAGACUAGAGGUAUGCAGGGGAGAACGGAAUUCCUGGUGUAGCGGUGAAAUGCGCAGAUAUCAGGAGGAACACCGGUGGCGAAGGCGGUUCUCUGGGCAUUACCUGACGCUGAGGAGCGAAAGUGUGGGGAGCGAACAGGAUUAGAUACCCGCGUAGUCCC